CAGCCCUGCAUGAGUAUGGCAGAUCGAUACCGACUUCCUCCAUGGCGUGGUCAAGGAUGUACACGUCAUCAGGGCACUCGAACUCCUGGGUUCCUUCCGGGGUCACGAGGGUGACCUUGUAUGUGGCCAUCAUGGUAACUCCGCCGCGGUUACGGAUGCCGGUGCUGGAUUUGAGUCCGAAGAGGGCUGCUGUUUUGUUGGAGGUGGAGAGAGAACGGAUGGCGGUGGUGGGCUGUUGGCGGCGGAGGAAGGAUGUGCUGGCCAUGGUGCCGGUAAGAGAUGCGGUUGCUGCUGCCAUUGUGGUGGUGGUUGUGGUUCGGAGAGACAGAGGGAGAGAUGGAAGGGAGUAGAAGUAGUGAGAAUGAGGAUAGCAAGGAGGGCUUGUGGAAAUAGUGUGUCUUGAGGAUGAGAUAUCUGCCACGUGUCAGAUUUUUGUGGUGUGCUUUAUCAUGUUAUCACAAUACGUCUAUUUUUUUCGCCAAUUUUCAUUUGUUUAUGGUAUUAUUUUAAUAGUAAACAUGAUCUUGGAUGUA
rnacentral:lncRNA from 1 species